rnacentral:misc_RNA from 1 species
AAGUGUCAUUAAUUUUUGUUCUGAAUUCUUGUGGUGUGAAACUUACAUCUAUAACUGAAAUUCUGUCAGUCAUACCAUCAAGCAUUAAUUUUAUCCAAUAUGUUGGGGAAGAUGGACUUGGUGUUUUAUCUACGUGACAUGACUCCAGCAAUCUUAUUUUUUAUUGCCCUAACUUUAUAUAAUGCAUUUGAUUGUUUCUUUUUAAACGUAUAAUCUGUCUUCCUAGUUUUGUUAGUUUACUUCAUUUUGGAAACUGUCUUUGUUGGUUUAAAUCUGU